rnacentral:rRNA from 1 species
GGUUGCGAUCAUACCAACACUAAUGCACCGGAUCCCAUCAGAACUCUGCAGUUAAGCGUGCUUGGGCGAGAGUAGUACUAGGAUGGGUGACCCCCUGGGAAGUCCUCGUGUUGCAACCCC